UUCAUUCUUGCAGGAGAUGGUGUCACAAAGGCGGGUCUAACAUCCUCAGCUUUCCUUGCUCCAGCUCCCUCACCCCCUAUGAAGCCAGAAAGCCCACACAGCACCAUGUGCCGGGCCACACUCUUGGACAUCUAGACUCCAGAACUGAAACCGAAUACAUUUUUCCUCUUUAUAAAUUACCCAAUCUGUGGUAUUCUGUUAUGGCAACACAAAACAAACUAAGACAACAAAAAAGGAACUGAAAUCCCAGCAGGGAUAGCAGCUCCCUCUGGGCCCCCUGGACAUCUAAGACAGAGGUGGCUGCAAAUCCACAUUUCGUCCUGAACCCACACUGCUGGCUAUCACACUCCACCCCUUCCUGCACUAUUUCUACAGUUGUCACCACUGUUCUCUCUGUCAUGAAACACUGACUCUCCUGUCACCUCUUGUGAGUCAGGGCUAUGGACACACACACACACACACAAACACACACACACACACACACACACACAUACAUAUGGCCACCUCCAAACCAUAGCUAGUUUCCUAGCAAGUCCACUGAACUGAGUUGCUGUGGAAUGUUAGGCCCUGGGCCAAAUGAAUGUUUAAAAUUAUGUGGGUUCUAUUUUUAUUUCCAUAAUGGUGGCAAGCAGCCACUGAUAACUUGAGCAAAACACAGCCCAUUUCAUGGUUCUCUCACACAGCUCAGGCAUGAGUCCCUCAACAAUCAAGCAGUUGGUGAAAUUUCGCCUCAGGGAACUUGGAUUUCCAGUGAAGUUCAUGGGACAGUGGAACAAGAUGCAUCUCUGGGCUUCACAGCCAAGAUAUGAAUGUUAUGAAGAAGCCAUAAACAGGCAUCUUGAGUGAGACAGGCGCAUCUCUCAGAAUAGGGGACUGUGUCAACGCAAGCCAGGCUGCAGGCCUUCGCCCACACUGCUCCAAAGACCUCCAGCCACAAUUCCCAGGGAAACACGGGGAAAGAUAAUCAAAACCACGUCCAAGAGCCCAGUUGCCUUUAAGAAAUGAUUCUCCAAAAGAAUCCAUUUCUUAGGACUUUCCAAAAUCAAAAAGCAUUUCUGGUUUGAAAGACCCUAAACUACCAAGUGCUCAGGACUGAGAGUCCCCAAGUACUGUAUGCAAACCAGCUUUAAAAACCAAACCUAAACUCGGUGUGGUGGCUCACGCCUAUAAU
rnacentral:lncRNA from 1 species